rnacentral:rRNA from 1 species
CGGUAAUACGUAGGGUGCAAGCGUAAUCGGAAUUACUGGGCGUAAAGCGUGCGCAGGCGGUUGUGCAAGACCGAUGUGAAUUCCCCGGGCUUAACCUGGGAAUGGCAUUGUGACUGUACGGCUAGAGUGUGUCGGAGGGGGGUAGAAUUCCACGUGUAGCAGUGAAAUGCGUAGAGAUGUGGAGGAAUACCGAUGGCGAAGGCAGCCCCCUGGGAUAACACUGACGCUCAUGCACGAAAGCGUGGGGAGCAAACAGGAUUAGAUACCCUGGUAGUCCACGCCCUAAAUGUCUGUUGUCGGGUCUUCAUCGACUUGGUAACGCAGCUAACGCGUGAAGUAGACCGCCUGGGGAGUACGGUCGCAAGAUUAAAACUCAAAGGAAUUGACGGGGACCCGCACAAGCGGUGGAUGAUGUGGAUUAAUUCGAUGCAACGCGAAAAACCUUACCUACCCACAUGGAUGGAAGCCUGAAGAGAUUGCGUGCCCGAAAGGGAGCCAUCACACAGGUGCUGCAUG